UCCAAAAACAUUGCAUUGAAGCCAAGAAUUAACAGUCCACCAUUUGCCCUGAGAAGUCACGCUGCUGCUUGAAGAAGAAACUUGCUGAGAAGUGACCCAUUGCCUGAGCCACAGCCCGUCAACCCAUUGGCGACAGAGCUGCCCCGCCAUGUGGAGCUUCACCCCACUGCUUAUUUCAAAGCACAACGUCCUCGAGGCUCAUCCGUGUUGCAGCGGUGUCAGAAUCUCCCUCCUCCUCAAGGCUGAUGAUGUUCCAGUGCGCGGCUCCAUUUUCUUUAGCCCUUCAGCUGCAGAUGGACAUUUGGGUUGCUUCAGCCUCUUGGCUACCGUAAACCCUGCUGCUGUGCCCAUGGCUGUACAAAUAUUU